UACAGAGGGUGCAAGCGUUAAUCGGAAUUACUGGGCGUAAAGCGCGCGUAGGUGGUUCGUUAAGUUGGAUGUGAAAUCCCCGGGCUCAACCUGGGAACUGCAUUCAAAACUGACGAGCUAGAGUAUGGUAGAGGGUGGUGGAAUUUCCUGUGUAGCGGUGAAAUGCGUAGAUAUAGGAAGGAACACCAGUGGCAAAGCGACCACCUGGACUGAUACUGACACUGAGGUGCGAAAGCGUGGGGAGCAAACAGG
rnacentral:rRNA from 1 species